UACAGAGGGCUCAAGCGUUGUUCGGAUUCAUUGGGCGUAAAGGGUGCGUAGGCGGCGAGGUAAGUCAGAUGUGAAAUCCCGGGGCUUAACCCCGGAACUGCAUUUGAUACUGCUUUGCUUGAGGACUGGAGAGGAGAUCGGAAUUCACGGUGUAGCAGUGAAAUGCGUAGAUAUCGUGAGGAAGGCCAGUGGCGAAGGCGGAUCUCUGGACAGUUCCUGACGCUGAGGCACGAAGGUCAGGGGAGCAAACGGG
rnacentral:rRNA from 1 species